GAUCAUUGUCGACGCGUUGAGAGAACGAAGCGAAUCGGUGACCAGACCGUAGAGUGGCCUAGCGGAGCAGUUGCUGCCUCUGCCGGGCCCCUCUACCCUUACGCUCGUCUUUCCCGCCUCCCCCUGCUCGCGGCGGGGUGGCAGGCCGGGUACGCACGGGCCUUCAACGAACCCUCGACGCGGGCCGCGUCAAGGACUACUUGAUUUGAACAUUGCAGGGCGCGACCCUAGCUUUGCCUCGCAUACGUGCGAUGCGCAUGCUGCUUCACGCCUCUGUUGGAAAAUGAUUACGAUGACUCUCGGCAACGGAUAUCUAGGCUCUCGCAUCGAUGAAGAACGUAGCGAAAUGCGAUACUUGGUGUGAAUUGCAGAAUCCCGUGAACCAUCGAGUCUUUGAACGCAAGUUGCGCCCGGAGCCGUCAGGCCGAGGGCACGUCUGCCUGGGCGUCGCACGUACCCUCGCUCCUCUUCCCGCAUCUUCCCAGAUGCGCGGUUCGGGGAGUUGGAUAUUGGCCAUCCGUGUGGUGGAUCCACGGUUGGCCCGAUGUCUGCAUGCAUGCGCGUUCGCAUCGCGACGGGUGGUGAUCGUCCAUGAGAUGCCCGUGUACGUCGCGAUCGCCGCGCUGCAUGUUUCCCGUUGGUCGCCCGGCGCGGUGAAGGCACAUUCCGGUGCCCCUCCGAACCGUACGGACCCCAGUCAGC
rnacentral:rRNA from 1 species